AACGAUAACAUAAACUUGCUUUUAUAUUACUAUGCAGUGAGCUCGACUUGAAAGUCAUCACUUACACACAUAUUUUUAACUAUGAAUUUAAUUCUAGAAAUAAAACAGUGCAUUGAAUUACAAUGUUUGUAGAUCGGCACACACAGUUUAUUUACUUUUUAUGUUACAGAAUGGCACUCACAUAUUUACUUUGGACAAGGACUUUAACAAAUUGAAGACAGACGAGGAGCUCGCGAAACACGUAGGUCAGAUUGUGAAGAAGUUAAAGACCUUCAAAGUGGCUGUGCAUCCUCGGAUUCGUUUGUUUUAUCAGCUUCUAAAACGUGGCAUGUCAGACUUCGCCCAAAGAAAUUCGGACUCUCUAUAUAACCCACGCGUGUACCAGAUCGAGGAUAAUAAACCCUAAAAGAUGUUUUGUACUUUACAUAUCUAAUGUGUAGAACUUUUCUACCAUAUUAAAGCAUAACUUAUUCA